GACGAACGCUGGCGGCGUGCUUAACACAUGCAAGUCGAACGAAGAGCGAUGGAAGCUUGCUUCUAUCAAUCUUAGUGGCGAACGGGUGAGUAACGCGUAAUCAACCUGCCCUUCAGAGGGGGACAACAGUUGGAAACGACUGCUAAUACCGCAUACGAUCUGACCUCGGCAUCGAGGAUAGAUGAAAGGUGGCCUCUACAUGUAAGCUAUCACUGAAGGAGGGGAUUGCGUCUGAUUAGCUAGUUGGAGGGGUAACGGCCCACCAAGGCGAUGAUCAGUAGCCGGUCUGAGAGGAUGAACGGCCCCAUUGGGACUGUGACACGGCCCAGACUCCUACGGGAGGCAGCAGUGGGGAAUCUUCCGCAAUGGACGAAAGUCUGACGGAGCAACGCCGCGUGAGUGAUGACGGCCUUCGGGUUGGAAAGCUCUGUUAAUCGGGACGAAAGGCCUUUUUGCGAAUAGUGAGAAGGAUUGACGGUACCGGAAUAGAAAGCCACGGCUAACUACGUG
rnacentral:rRNA from 1 species